rnacentral:rRNA from 1 species
GCAGUCGAGCGAAUGGAUUGAGAGCUUGCUCUCAUGAAGUUAGCGGCGGACGGGUGAGUAACACGUGGGUAACCUGCCCAUAAGACUGGGAUAACUCCGGGAAACCGGGGCUAAUACCGGAUAACAUUUUGAACUGCAUGGUUCGAAAUUGAAAGGCGGCUUCGGCUGUCACUUAUGGAUGGACCCGCGUCGCAUUAGCUAGUUGGUGAGGUAACGGCUCACCAAGGCAACGAUGCGUAGCCGACCUGAGAGGGUGAUCGGCCACACUGGGACUGAGACACGGCCCAGACUCCUACGGGAGGCAGCAGUAGGGAAUCUUC